UACGGAGGAUGCGAGCGUUAUCCGGAAUGAUUGGGCGUAAAGCGUCCGCAGGUGGCUAUGUAAGUCUGCUGUUAAAGAGUCAUGCUCACCAUGAUAAGAGCAGUGGAAACUACAUGGCUAGAGUGCGUUCGGGGCAGAGGGAAUUCCUGGUGUAGCGGUGAAAUGCGUAGAUAUCAGGAAGAACACCGGUGGCGAAGGCGCGCUGCUAGGCCGCAACUGACACUGAGGGACGAAAGCUAGGGGAGCGAACGGG
rnacentral:rRNA from 1 species